rnacentral:tRNA from 1 species
UGCACAGUAGUCUAGUGGCAGGACACCUUUACCACAUAAAGGCAGCUGUGGUUCGAUUCCGCACUGUGCAU